rnacentral:rRNA from 1 species
UACGUAGGGUGCGAGCGUUGUCCGGAAUUAUUGGGCGUAAAGAGCUCGUAGGCGGUGUGUCGCGUCGGCCGUGAAAACCCUGCAGCUUAACUGUGGGCUUGCGGUCGAUACGGGCAUCACUGGAGUUCGGCAGGGGAGACUGGAAUUCCUGGUGUAGCGGUGAAAUGCGCAGAUAUCAGGGAGGAACACCGGUGGGCGAAGGCGGGACUCUGGGCCGAUACUGACGCUGGAGGAGCGAAAGCGUGGGGAGCAAACAGG